rnacentral:rRNA from 1 species
GAUGAACGCUGGCGGCGUGCCUAAUACAUGCAAGUCGAGCGAACAGACGAGGAGCUUGCUCCUCUGACGUUAGCGGCGGAAGGGUGAGUAACACGUGGAUAACCUACCUAUAAGACUGGGAUAACUUCGGGAAACCGGAGCUAAUACCGGAUAAUAUAUUGAACCGCAUGGUUCAAUAGUGAAAGACGGUUUUGCUGUCACUUAUAGAUGGAUCCGCGCCGCAUUAGCUAGUUGGUAAGGUAACGGCUUACCAAGGCAACGAUGCGUAGCAGAACUGAGAGCGUGACUGGCCACGCUGGAGCUGAGACACCGUCCAGACUCCUACGGGAAGCAACACUAGGCAAUCGUACGCAAUAGCCGAAAACCUGACGGAGCAACGCCGCGUAAGUGAUGAAGGUCUUCGGAUCGUAAAACUCUGUUAUCAAGGAAGAACAAAUGUGUAAGUAACUAUGCACGUCUUGACGGUACCUAAUCAGAAAGCCACGACUAACUACGUG